rnacentral:rRNA from 1 species
AUUGAACGCUGGCGGCAGGCCUAACACAUGCAAGUCGAGCGAGCGGCGGACGGGUGAGUAAUGUCUGGGAAACUGCCUGAUGGAGGGGGAUAACUACUGGAAACGGUAGCUAAUACCGCAUACCAUCAGAUGUGCCCAGAUGGGAUUAGCUAAUAGGUGGGGUAAUGGCUCACCUAGGCAACAAUCCCUAGCUGGUCUGAGAGGAUGACCAGCCACACUGGAAUUGGGACACGGUCCAGACUCGUACGGGAGGCAGCAGUGGGGAAUAUUGCACAAUGGGCGCAAGCCUGACGCAGCCAUGCCGCGUGUAUGAAGAAGGUCUUCGGGUGGUAAAGUACGUUCAGCGAGGAGGCGUUACUCGCAGAAGAAGCACCGGCUAACUCCGUGCCAGCAGCCGCGGUAAUAC